AAAAAAAAAAAAAAAAGAGUAUAUAAAAGAUAUUUCCAUGACCUCUUACCGUUAAGAAUUGCUAUAAGAUGAUGAGGCAAACUCUGCCGCUGUUGGGUAUUGAAGCCAACCUGUCAUGGGGCACAUGGUCUGCAUGGUGUUGAAUAUGAGUUGGUGGGUUUAGGUGCAUAUUAGUAGCUUUCAAUACAGACUACUCCUUUAUUUUGCAACUGUAAUUCUGUAGUUGUUUCACCCUUAGUGAUCAACUUAUUUUAGAUUAAAAUACAAGUGUUUGGUUCAAUAUUGGGAGGGUGAUGAUAGAAGUCUGUGUAUUUGUGUGCAUAUAAGCACAAAUACAAGGACAAGUUCAGAUGGUGAUGAUUUUAUGGUAACCAGGAUGCAUAAAUGUGUACAUUAUUCAUAGGAUUGGGUAUAUACUGGAUUUCCCAACCCCUUGGUGAAAAAAUAUAUAUACUGUUUGUAGCUGAAAUACAUAGCAGAAUGCUCAAGCACGCUUUCCUUGCACUCUAGGUCAGUUAUUUAUAGGUUCUCCAGCACAUGCAACAGCACCCACUCUGUUAUCCAGCUCAGCAACGUUUCCUUUUCCAGAAUUCUCUACAACUUUCUUGGAUCUUCUUCUUGUAUAUACUCUUAGUUUUCCUGGCCCAUUAGUUCCCACACUCCUGCCCUGCGCUAUCCAUAUCAAAUUUUCUCUAGGAAAUUUUGACUAUAGAAUACAAAGUUUAUGAUCUAUACGUAUUAAUGAGUGUUACAAAUAUAUGUAGCGACACUUGCAGUGAGAGGUCUUACUAGCAUGCAAGUGCUAAUAUGAAUGCCUUUUGAUUAAAUAUGGUACAUGAGACUGACAAAACAUAGCGAUUGACAUGUGAUUGAGUUUGUCUUCUUUGCUACUUUUCAGAUACCUGCAUUUGGAGCGUACAAAUCCCUUGGAUUUGUUAGAGGAUUCUUAUCAUUAGGGUCAGAGGGAGAUGUGGAAGAUGAAAAGACACGCAAAAAGAGGGAGAAGCUGGAGAAGAAAGCUUCAAGAGCCAAGUUUGUUAAGACAAGAAACAGGUAGUCAUUGUAUUGAAAUGUGCAAGCCAGCUCGUAGAUUUAGUUCUUUUUUAAAUGACACAGCAUUGCACAGAGUUUCGUUGACAAUUUUUGAAUGGUAAAGUUGGAGAAUUCGCUGGUAGUUGAGGAGUUUGGUAACAGUUGAUGCACAACUUUUGUGCUGUUGAUUAUCAUACUACUGAAAAUUAGAUGCUAGAGCUGGUACCACUUCAAUGCAAUGCUAUAAAAUUAUCAUCAAAGUAAUAUAUUCAUCACAAAUAUUAUAAUAUAAGAUUUGCAAACUACUGUACUUUCGUAUAUUUUAUGUGUUUUAUUGGCUUGUGAUCACAGAAAUCAACAUUGUGGUCACAAUUGACCCUCUCAAAUAAUUAAGUACAUCUAUGGAGAUCGAAAGUAGAGGGUCAUGGUAUUUGUGACCCGAAAAUCACCGGUUCGGGUUAUGGAAAUAGCUUCUUUGUAAAACACGGUAAAACUGUGUAUAUCAAUCAUACGUAAAUGUAAUAGAAAGUCAUAGUGGUACAGCUGAGUUGGUGAAUCCUUGGAAUAGUUUGAAUAAAUAGAAAUCCUUGGAAUAGUUUGUAUGUACCAGUACUUAUUCAAGCUCAAAUGGUACUUCCG
rnacentral:misc_RNA from 1 species